rnacentral:rRNA from 1 species
CCUACGGGUGGCAGCAGUGAGGAAUAUUGGUCAAUGGACGAGAGUCUGAACCAGCCAAGUAGCGUGAAGGAUGACUGCCCUAUGGGUUGUAAACUUCUUUUAUAUGGGAAUAAAAUGUUCCACGUGUGGGAUUUUGUAUGUACCAUAUGAAUAAGGAUCGGCUAACUCCGUGCCAGCAGCCGCGGUAAUACGGAGGAUCCGAGCGUUAUCCGGAUUUAUUGGGUUUAAAGGGUGCGUAGGUGGAUUGUUAAGUCAGUUGUGAAAGUUUGCGGCUCAACCGUAAAAUUGCAGUUGAAACUGGCAGUCUUGAGUACAGUAGAGGUGGGCGGAAUGCGUGGUGUAGCGGUGAAAUGCUUAGAUAUCACGAAGAACUCCGAUUGCGAAGGCAGUUCACUGGACUGCAACUGACACUGAGGCUCGAAAGUGUGGGUAUCAAACAGGAUUAGAUACCCUAGUAGUC